UGGCUGUAAUGGUCGCAAUCUAAGGAAGAUAUCAACAUCCCGAUUUCUUUCUACCAUGGAGUUCGCAAGAACACUGCCAACAGUGCCCAGUUCGAACAUGGCGGUGGAUGUCCACUCGUGUAGGUAACUCACGAUGCUGCGAUGUCCUUAAGCAAUGAAGAAUAUUUCAUGAGGGAGGUUUCACUCUGCAGUGAGCUCUUCACCGUGGUGUGGCGGUAUUGGAUUACACUUGUUGUGUGGUUUGGUAGAGGAGGUUGGGUUGAGCGUCAACCUUGGUU
rfam:Glarea lozoyensis 74030 unplaced genomic scaffold M7I_scaffold12, whole genome shotgun sequence.